CCUACGGGCGGCUGCAGUGAGGAAUCUUGCGCAAUGGGGGAAACCCUGACGCAGCAACGCCGCGUGAGUGAGGAAGGUCUUCGGGUCGUAAAGCUCUGUCAGGCGGGAAGAAAUGCAUGGAGGUGAACAGCCGCCAUGCUUGACGGUACCGCCAGAGGAAGCACCGGCUAACUCCGUGCCAGCAGCCGCGGUAAUACGGGGGGUGCAAGCGUUGUUCGGAAUCAUUGGGCGUAAAGAGCGUGUAGGCGGCUUGGUAAGUCAGAUGUGAAAGCCCUGGGCUCAACCCGGGAAGUGCAUUUGAAACUGUCAGGCUCGAGUAGGGGAGAGGGAAGUGGAAUUCCUGGUGUAGAGGUGAAAUUCGUAGAUAUCAGGAGGAACACCGGUGGCGAAGGCGACUUCCUGGCCCUAUACUGACGCUGAGACGCGAGAGCGUGGGUAGCAAACAGGAUUAGAUACCCCUGUAGUC
rnacentral:rRNA from 2 species